rnacentral:ncRNA from 1 species
AACCCAGUUUCGGGGACCCUGGUACAGGCAGGCCAGGACUCCCCUUCUUUACAACCGGGGCUCACACCGCUCACAGCGACGAGCCCCAAAACGCUUUCGGGAACCCCGGUACAGGCAGGCCGGGACUUCCCUCUUUAACACCCGGACU